rnacentral:rRNA from 1 species
CCCUUAGAUGUCCUGGGCCGCACGCGCGUUACACUGAUGCAUUCAACGAGCUUAUAACCUUGGCCGAGAGGCCUGGGCAAUCUUGUUAACGUGCAUCGUGAUAGGGAUAGAUUAUUGAAAUUAUUAAUCUUGAACGAGGAAUUCCUAGUAAACGCAGAUCAUCAAUCUGCAUUGAUUACGUCCCUGCCCUUUGUACACACCGCCCGUCGCACCUACCGAUUGGAUGGUCCGGUGAAGCCUCGGGAUUGUGGUUCUUGCCGCUUUAUGGUGGCGUGACCGCGAGAACUUGUCUAAACCUUAUCAUCUAGAGGAAGGUGAAGUCGUAACA